rnacentral:rRNA from 1 species
UACGAGGGGUCCUAGCGUUGUUCGGAAUCACUGGGCGUAAAGAGCGCGUAGGCGGCGCGGUAUGUCUCUUGUGAAAUCUCCAGGCUCAACUUGGAGUCUGCAAGGGAAACUGCCGUGCUUGAGUACUGGAGAGGUGAGUGGAAUUCCCGGUGUAGCGGUGAAAUGCGUAGAUAUCGGGGAGGAACACCUGUGGCGAAAGCGGCUCACUGGACAGUAACUGACGCUGAUGCACGAAAGCUAGGGGAGCAAACAGG